GUGGGAAAACAAACUGGAAAAACUCCUGGGAUGGGAUUUUAUUCCAAUCUCUUGGAGCAGGAGGAGCAGAAUUCUGGGAAUUUGAGCUCGGGAUCAUCCCAGGGAGGAGACGAGGGGAUUCCAUGGAGAAAAAGGGUGGAAAAACCCCUGGGAUGGGAUUUUAUUCCAAGAAAGAGCGGAAUUCCGGGAUUUUGAGCUCGGGAUCGUCCCGGGGAGGGAACAGGGGGAUCCCACAGAGAACAGAGCUGGAAAAACUCCUGGGAUGGGAUUUUAUUCCCAAAAUUCUGGACCAGGAGGAGCUGAAUUCCGGGAUUUGGGAUCAUCCCGGGGAGGGAACAGGGGGAUCCCAUGGAGGAGAGAGCUGGAAAAACUCCUGGGAUGGGAUUUUAUUCCAAUCUCUUGGAGCAGGAGGAGCAGAAUUCUGGGAAUUUGAGCUCGGGAUCAUCCCAGGGAGGAGACGAGGGGAUUCCAUGGAGAAAAAGGGUGGAAAAACCCCUGGGAUGGGAUUUUAUUCCAAGAAAGAGCGGAAUUCCGGGAUUUUGAGCUCGGGAUCGUCCCGGGGAGGGAACAGGGGGAUCCCACAGAGAACAGAGCUGGAAAAACUCCUGGGAUGGGAUUUUAUUCCCAACGUUUUGGAGCAGGAGGAGCGGAAUUCCGGGAAUUUGAGCUCGGGAUCAUCCCAGGGAGGAGACGAGGGGAUUCCAUGGAGAAAAAGGGUGGGAAAACUCCUGGGAUGGGAUUUUAUUCCAAGAAAGAGCGGAAUUCCGGGAUUUUGAGCUCGGGAUCGUCCCGGGGAGGGAACAGG